rnacentral:rRNA from 1 species
AAAUGAAUAGACGGGGACCCGCACAAGCGGUGGAGCGUGUUGUUUAAUUCGAUGGUAAACGAAGAACCUUACCCAGGUUUGACAUCCUUAGAAUUUUGUCGAAAGACGAGAGUGCUUUAUUGAACUAAGUGACAGGUGUUGCAUGGCCGUCGUCAGCUCGUGUCGUGAGAUGUUUGGUUAAGUCCAUCAACGAGCGCAACCCUUAUUGUCUGUUGUAUUUUUCAGGCAAGACUGCCCCGGUAACGGGGAGGAAGGGGGGGAUGAUGUCAGGUCAGUAUUACCCUUACAUCUGGGGCUACAAACACGCUACAAUGGCCGGUACAAAGGGCAGCCAAAGCGCAAGCUGGAGCAAAUCCCAUCAAAGCCGGUCCCAGUUCGGAUAGCAGGCUGAAACUCGCCUGCUUGAAGUCGGAAUCGCUAGUAACGGUAGGUCAGCUAUACUACCGUGAAUACGUUCCCGGGUCUUGUACACACCGCCCGU